rnacentral:rRNA from 1 species
AUUCCAGCUCCAAUAGCGUAUAUUAAAGUUGUUGCAGUUAAAACGCUCGUAGUCGGAUUUCGGGGCGGGCCGACCGGUCUGCCGAUGGGUAUGCACUGGCCGGCGCGUCCUUCCACCCGGAGACCGCGCCUACUCUUAACUGAGCGGGCGCGGGAGACGGGUCUUUUACUUUGAAAAAAUCAGAGUGUUUCAAGCAGGCAGUCGCUCUUGCAUGGAUUAGCAUGGGAUAAUGAAAUAGGACUUUGGUGCUAUUUCGUUGGUUGUGUACUGAGGUAAUGAUUAAUAGGGAUAGUUGGGGGUAUUCAUAUUUGAUUGUCAGAGGUGAAAUUCUUGGAUUUUUCAAAGAUGAACAAGUGCGAAAGCAUUUACCAAGGAUGUUUUCAUCA